GUUACAGAUAAUGAGUUGCCGAUGCUUU
rnacentral:sRNA from 1 species